rnacentral:rRNA from 1 species
GAUGAACGCUGGCGGCGUGCUUAACACAUGCAAGUCGAGCGGACAGGCCCAAGCUUGCUUGCUUUCUCGAUUGCCGCGCGGGUGUGUAUCACGCGGGUGUUCCGCCCCUCUCUUCCGGAUAUGCCUUCGAAACUGGGUCUCAUAUCCCGUAUGACAGUGGUAUGCAUGCCAUUGUGGAGAGUUUUUCCGGUGUGGGAUGAGCUCGCGGCCUAUCCGCUCGUCGGUGGGGUAAUGGUCUACCAACGCGUCGACGGGUAGCCGGCCUGAGAGGGUGUAAGGCAACAUUGGGACUGAGAUACGGCCCAGACUCCUACGGGAGGCAGCAGUGGGGAAUAUUGAACAAUGGGCGCAAGCCUGAUGCAGCGACGCCGCGGGGGGGAUGACGGCCUUCGGGUUGGAAACUCAUUUCGCUAGGGACGAAGCGUUAUGUGACGGUACCUAGAGAAGAAGCACCGGCUAACUACGUG